CCCUUAGAUGUCCUGGGCCGCACGCGCGCUACACUGAUGCAUGCAACGAGUUUAUAACCUUGGCCUGAAAGGUCUGGGUAAUCUUUUGAACGUGCAUCGUGAUAGGGAUAGAUUAUUGCAAUUGUUAAUCUUGAACGAGGAAUUCCUAGUAAACGCGAGUCAUCAGCUCGCAUUGAUUACGUCCCUGCCCUUUGUACACACCGCCCGUCGCUCCUACCGAUUGAGUGGUCCGGUGAGGCUUUGGGAUCUGAGCGGAAAGAGCGUUUCGCUGUUUCUGCUCGGAAAACUCAGUCGAACCUUAUCAUUUAGAGGAAGGAGAAGUCGUAACA
rnacentral:rRNA from 1 species